GCUUGUCUCAAAGAUUAAGCCAUGCAUGUCUAAGUAUAACUCUUUUACUUUGAAAACUGCGAACGGCUCAUUAUAUCAGUUAUAGUUUCUUUGAUAGUCCCUUACUACUUGGAUACCCGUAGUAAUUCUAGAGCUAAUACAUGCGUAAAGUCCCGACUCUUGCGGGGAGGGAUGUAUUUAUUAGAUAAAAAACCAAUGCGGCCUCUGGUCGGUAUUGUGGUGAAUCAUAGUAACUUUUCGAAUCGCAUGGCUUCACGCCGGCGAUAGUUCAUUCAAAUUUCUGCCCUAUCAGCUUUCGACGGUAGUGUAGUGGACUACCGUGGCGUUAACGGGUAACGGAGAAUUAGGGUUCGAUUCCGGAGAGGGAGCCUGAGAAACGGCUACCACAUCCAAGGAAGGCAGCAGG
rnacentral:rRNA from 1 species